ACCUCCGCCUGCGUGAUGCCAGUAUUCUUCAAGAAGACGAAGCCCACGUCCGUAAAAGCCACUUUUAACUCUCUGCAGAGUUGGUGAAGGUUUGCACUGGAAAUAUCCUCGACGCUGAGGCUAGCCAUGCUAAAGUCGACCACCGGGAUGCUCAUCGUUUCGAAUUAAAACGACAAAAACAACAAAAAA